rnacentral:misc_RNA from 1 species
UUUUUUUUUACUUUUACGUUUGUAAAGAGACGUAUAAUAAGCUGUUUUAAAAAUAUUUUACCACCUUUCCGUAUCGCUUGUUCAUUGUCAUUGUGCUUUCUAUGUAAUUAAUGGCAUUGUUUGGAAAUCCCAUUCCAAACACUGGAAGAAAGGGUCUGAUCUUAAGUGUGCACAAUGGCAUUGCAGGCGAGGUGGGAUUUUUUUUUCUGGUUGUCAUGUGGACUUUGUUACGAAAUUUGGAUAAAUGGUUCCAUGCAGUGCAAUUUAGAAGUGCACUCCGUGUAGAGUAAUAAAAUGGGAACUAAAGUGAAAUUUCAAUUGACUCCCAAUAUUCAUAUGUUUGAUCCUACAAGGCCAUGUGACAAUCAGUUAAAUCGUUCUAAAACAGUCCCCACUAUGGUCACUUCCUCUGCGCAACUUCCGGAGAAAGUAAGCAUAAGUGUGGAUGACAUAUACAAUCUAGCAGAGCGGGAGCGGUUGUGUUAUUCUGCCAGGGGAAGGCGUAACGCGGUGACAAAAGCACAGAAAAAAGCAUACAAAGUGGACGAAGUCUACAGGUCCCGCCCUCACACAAGCGCCAGCGGCUACAUAGACUCUUACAGAAGAGAUGUCAUCACGCCGACCAAAAGCAUUCGCAGUGAGCCGCUGCCUUCGAGAGUGUCUUCUCGAGCGGGACGAGACUUCGAGGACGAGGAGGAAGCGGAAGUGUAUCCAUUAAACUAUAUCAAUGCCCCCUCCGUCUGUUGUGAGGUUAUUGGACCCCAAGCCUGUGAGGAAUGUCGAAGGGUUCAACGGAGGCAGCACGAGAGAGAAAAAUUCGAGGCUCGAUUUUCGAAUGUAUUGGUGUCCGACCAUAACAUAACUACAUGUGCUUUUUUACAGCGGUAUCUUCCACAUUUGUCGAAGGAAGAUAUUUUAGUGAAGCUAGCAAGGGGAGAUAUAGCCAAACCUAACAUUUUAUCGCGAUCUCAGAGCUUAUUAGAAAGAAAGUCAACUGAAAAAGACAAUGUUUAUUCCAAACGGUCACGUGAGACCAGUAAUAUUGAACGCGCGAAACAGUCCAUGAUUCAGAAAAAGAUCAAAUCUAUGUUUUUCGUCAAUAUAAUGGAUUUAAACACGAAAAUCAAUUCCGGAAGAGUAUCUCGUUCGCUCGGAUUUCACUGCCAACCUUCAACUAACAAGAAAAUUAUACCUGAAUACCAGAGCCCUUUUCCUUCCUUUGUCAGCCCAAGAAAGGUCAGUUUUAUAUCUGAGGCAAGUGGUAAGAAAUUUCAUUACGAGCCUCCUCUUCUUCCGAAGGAAAACCAAAUCCAAGAACCCGGAUUUUUCGCUGGUUCUGAGAGUACGUACGUUUUACCUGAGCGUCUUCCAGAUACCAUUGAAUUUGUUCAAGACGGGAAAACCGUCAAACGGUGUGUCUCCACUUUAUCCGAGAAUGAGAAUGAGGCGGAAGAAAUUUGAACCUUGUGAACGAAUGAAAACGAACGAAGCGAUUUGAACGAAGAUAAAGCGAUUUAACAAAUGUCCCCAAAGCCUAGGAUUUAAGUUAACUUUGUUAUGCAGUCUUUAUUAUUUAUUUUAUGAAUAAACAGACCAGUUAUAAUCAU